rnacentral:lncRNA from 10 species
CAAGAAUUUCCAGAUAAACAACCAGAUUGUGAAACUGAAAUACUGUUACACAUGCAAGAUCUUCCGGCCUCCCCGGGCCUCCCAUUGCAGCAUCUGUGACAACUGUGUGGAUUUUCCUGUACUGGAUUUUCAUGUGGGACCCACCUUACAUAGUGGGAGGAGACACCUAGUCCACUGGAGGGCAGCAUUGAGGAAGGAAGGUCUGUCUAAGACGCAACCCAAGAAGAGGAAAGUUGCUAGCAUUUAUUGAGUUUCUACUACAUAUUGGGCACUGUGCUAAGUGAUUUACCUUUCUCUCAUUUAAGACUUGUAACAGCCCCAUGAGAUUGGUAUUAUCCCCAUUUUACGGAUGAGGAAAUAGGUGAAGCACCAGUAUGUAAGUUCACAUAAUUAGUAUGAGAUUAAGCUAGAGCAGGUCUGAUUCCAAACUGCUUAUUUCUUCUCUUUGCUGCUGCUGCAAGAGGGUCAGGUAUAUGUGUGUCUAAUACAGUGGUCUGUACUUCCAUCCACAUAUAUGUGGCUUUGUUGUAAUCACUGCCUACUGUGUGCUAAACCCUGGCCAAGAUGAGAAAUGGGCCAUAAAGAUUCCUGUUGAUAGGCCUAUAUGUGAAAUUGCUUAUAUCAU